AACGAACGCUGGCGGCAUGCCUAACACAUGCAAGUCGAACGCCCUCUUCGGAGGGAGUGGCGCACGGGUGCGUAACGCGUGGGAACCUGCCCUUAGGUUCGGAAUAACUCAGAGAAAUUUGAGCUAAUACCGGAUAAUGUCUUCGGACCAAAGAUUUAUCGCCUUUGGAUGGGCCCGCGUUGGAUUAGCUAGUUGGUGGGGUAAAGGCCUACCAAGGCGACGAUCCAUAGCUGGUCUGAGAGGAUGAUCAGCCACACUGGGACUGAGACACGGCCCAGACUCCUACGGGAGGCAGCAGUGGGGAAUAUUGGACAAUGGGCGAAAGCCUGAUCCAGCAAUGCCGCGUGAGUGAUGAAGGCCUUAGGGUUGUAAAGCUCUUUACUGGGAUGAUAAUGACAGUACCCAGAGAAUAAGCUCCGGCUAACUCCGUGCCAGCAGCCGCGGUAAU
rnacentral:rRNA from 1 species